rnacentral:rRNA from 1 species
UACGUAGGUGGCAAGCGUUGUCCGGAUUUAUUGGGUUUAAAGGGUGCGUAGGCGGCCCUGUAAGUCAGCGCUGAAAUAUCCCGGCUUAACCGGGAGGGUGGCAUUGAUACUGCAGGGCUUGAGUAAAGUUGAGGUUGGCGGAAUUGACGGUGUAGCGGUGAAAUGCUUAGAUAUCGUCAAGAACACCGAUAGUGAAGACAGCUAACUAAGCUUUAACUGACGCUGAGGCACGAAAGUGUGGGGAGCGAACAGG